UCCAGCUUAACUGGAGAGUUUGAUCCUGGCUCAGAACGAACGCUGGCGGCGUGCCUAACACAUGCAAGUCGUGCGAGAAAAGGGAGCAAUCCCUGAGUAAAGCGGCGCACGGGUGAGUAACACGUAGGUAACCUACCCUCGAGCCCGGGAUAACCUACCGAAAGGUGGGCUAAUACCGGAUAUGACCACGGGAGUCACGGCUCCUGCGGUGAAAGGUGGCCUCUGCUUGCAAGCUACCACUCUUGGAUGGGCCUGCGCGCCAUUAGCUAGUUGGCGGGGUAAAAGCCCACCAAGGCGAUGAUGGCUAGCUGGUCUGAGAGGAUGGCCAGCCACACUGGGACUGAAACACGGCCCAGACUCCUACGGGAGGCAGCAGUGGGGGAUCUUGCGCAAUGGGCGAAAGCCUGACGCAGCGACGCCGCGUGGGUGAUGAAGGCCUUCGGGUCGUAAAGCCCUGUCGUCGGAGCCCUGACGGUACCCCUAAAGGAAGCACCGGCUAACUCCGUGCCAGCAGCCGCGGUAAUACGGAGGGUGCGAGCGUUGUUCGGAAUCACUGGGCGUAAAGGGCGUGCAGGCGGUCCGCUAAGUCUGAUGUGAAAGCCCGGGGCUCACCCCCGGAAGGGCAUUGGAAACUGACGGACUCGAGUCCCGGAGAGGAGGGUGGAAUUCCUGGUGUAGCGGUGAAAUGCGUAGAUAUCAGGAGGAACACCGGUGGCGAAGGCGGCCCUCUGGACGGUGACUGACGCUGAGACGCGAAAGCGUGGGGAGCAAACAGGAUUAGAUACCCUGGUAGUCCACGCUGUAAACGAUGAGCACUAGGUGUCGCGGGUAUUGACCCCUGCGGUGCCGCAGCUAACGCAUUAAGUGCUCCGCCUGGGGACUACGGCCGCAAGGUUAAAACUCAAAGGAAUUGACGGGGGCCCGCACAAGCGGUGGAGCAUGUGGUUCAAUUCGACGCAACGCGAAGAACCUUACCUGGGCUAGACAACGGAGGACAGCUCCAGAGAUGGGGU
rnacentral:rRNA from 1 species